UGAGUAAUGUCUGGGAAACUGCCUGAUGGAGGGGGAUAACUACUGGAAACGGUAGCUAAUACCGCAUAACGUCGCAAGACCAAAGAGGGGGACCUUCGGGCCUCUUGCCAUCAGAUGUGCCCAGAUGGGAUUAGCUAGUAGGUGGGGUAAUGGCUCACCUAGGCGACGAUCCCUAGCUGGUCUGAGAGGAUGACCAGCCACACUGGAACUGAGACACGGUCCAGACUCCUACGGGAGGCAGCAGUGGGGAAUAUCGCACAAUGGGCGCAAGCCUGAUGCAGCCAUGCCGCGUGUGUGAAGAAGGCCUUCGGGUUGUAAAGCACUUUCAACGAGGAGGAAGGUGGUGAGCUUAAUACGCUCAUCAAUUGACGUUACUCGCAGAAGAAGCACCGGCUAACUCCGUGCCAGCAGCCGCGGUAAUACGGAGGGUGCAAGCGUUAAUCGGAAUUACUGGGCGUAAAGCGCACGCAGGCGGUUUGUUAAGUCAGAUGUGAAAUCCCCGGG
rnacentral:rRNA from 1 species